rnacentral:rRNA from 1 species
CUCCAUGUCUUGCUCAGUAGCGGCGAGUGAAGCGGCAAGAGCUCAGAUUUGAAAUCUCACCUAGUGUGCGAGUUGUAAAUUGCAGGUUGGAGUCUCGGGUUAGACGUGUGUGCAAGUCCCUUGGAACAGGGUGCCACUGAGGGUGAGAGCCCCGUAGCGUGCAUGUCGACACCUGUGAGGCCCUUCUGACGAGUCGAGUUGUUUGGGAAUGCAGCUCUAAGUGGGUGGUAAAUUCCAUCUAAGGCUAAAUAUUGGCGAGAGACCGAUAGCGAACAAGUACUGUGAAGGAAAGAUGAAAAGCACUUUGAAAAGAGAGUGAAACAGCACGUGAAAUUGUUGAAAGGGAAGGGUAUUGGGCUCGACAUGGGAUUUACGCAUCGUUGCCUCUCGUGGGCGGCGCUCUGGGUUUUUCCUGGGCCAGCAUCGGUUUUCGUUGCAGGAUAAGGACAAUUGGAAUGUGGCUCCUCGGAGUGUUAUAGCCUUUUGUAGAUGCUGCGUAUGGGGACCGAGGGCUGCGGCGGACUCGUUUCGUCUCGGAUGCUGGCACAACGGCGCAAUACCGCCCGUCUUGAAACACGGACCCA